UGAGCCUCCUUACUGUCCUGAAUCCAGGAACCCCAGUUCCACACCACCUGUCAUGAUCUAAAUGUUUGUGUUCCCCCAAAAUGCAUAGGUCAAAAUCCUCACCUCCAAGGUGAUGGUAUCAGGAGGUCAGGCCUCUGGAGGCGAUGAAGUUAUGAGGGUGGGGCCCUCACGAAUGGAAUUGGUGCCAUUAUAAGAGAGGCCCAUGAGAGCUCCCUCACCCCUUCCUCCCUGUGAGGACACCAAGGGAAGGCAGGGCUGUCUAUGAUGCAGAAAGCAGGCCCUCACCAGACACCUGAUCUGCUGGAGCCUUGAUCUCUAACUUACAGGCCCCAGAAUGGCAAGAAAUAAAUGUGUGUUGUUUAAGCUGAGAUGCAGUCUACGGUAUUUUGUUCCGGCAGCCCACAUGACUAAGACACCAGCCUACCAGGCCUUGACAUCACAGCAUCACAGCACAGGCUAUGGCCUGUAGAGGCUCACGUGGGCUUUUCAACUGGUGCAUAAUUUAGGUUAAAGUUUCUGAGCAGCUCUGGACUGCAAAAGGGCCUCCCUUCACUGAGCAGAUGUAUAUGACCCCGUGCUUCUCCGAUUCAUACCAAACUUCAGAGAAACUCCGGGAAAGGUUCCUUCUGUAUUUAUGGAUGAGAAUUAUGUGAAGCCUCUACAACCAUCGUAGUUCAUAUCUCCAGAGAGAGGUAUAAUUUGCAGUGAAGUGCACAAAUCAGUGAAAUUUUACGUAUGCAACCUUUAUCACUCACCACCCAAACCAGAGUGGUGUCUUCCCAACACCCCAGGGCCUCUAGUCCUUUUCCAGCGUUGCCUGAAGACACAAACUACUGAUGGCUGCAUCCACAUGACUGACUUCAAACACAGCACGCUGCAGGAGAAAAGCCGGAUACGCGCGUGGAAAGUGGGUGGCUCCACCACCCUGCUGUUCAGGUUUUCUUUCUGAAAGUUCUUUUGGCUUUAUUAUGGAAUAGAGGUUACAGAAAGGCAAAAGCUUUGGCCGUAGCGGGUGGGAAGAUCUUCCUUACCCUGGAGGAGGAAGUAGGGUCUCCGUAAUGUAUGUGUGGUACUCAGGGCUCCCGGCAGCCCGAAGCCAGAGUGUGUCCUCACCCUGCCCCGGGUCAGCCCUGUGACCUGGAGGGAGCAACUGAAAAGCUCUGGGCCUCGGAUUCCUCAUCUGUGAAAUGGGGAUGCUAACAGUGCUACCUCCUCUGGUUGGUUUGUGGCAGAGGACACAUGAGGCAACCUGUGUAAAAUGCUUGGAGGGUGGCCAGUGUGGUUACCAUGGAGAUUGACUGGUACCGUCUUCCACAUCCUGUGUUGACUAAGCGCGCACACCAGAAUACAGUUCCAAACGAUUAUCAAACAUGAAUACAAUUCAGAAAAUAAACAUGCAGCAAAACUUGCCAUAAAGAUUGCAUGAAACUAUCACUUUAAGAAAAAUACAUUAAAAAUUACCUUAAAUACCGAAAAGUACUUUUGUAAGUAAGGAUCAGUCCAAUAAAUUUAACCUGUAUUUGAAUCAGUGUAAAACAACUUGGUUUAUAAUUUUGUCUUCAUCGAGUGGGGGUGACUUUUGUAGCUUCUGUCACUGCUGCCUGGAGUAUAGAAUUAAACACCUUUUUGCAGAA
rnacentral:lncRNA from 1 species